GCGGGUGUAGUUCAAUGGUAGAACUUCAGCUUCCCAAGCUGAGAGCGCGGGUUCGAUUCCCGUCACCCGCUCCG
rnacentral:tRNA from 1 species